rnacentral:rRNA from 1 species
UACGUAGGGUGCGAGCGUUGUCCGGAAUUAUUAGGCGUAAAGGGCUCGUAGGCGGUUUGUCGCGUCGGGAGUGAAAUCCACUGGCUUAACUGGUGGCUUGCUUUCGAUACGGGCAGACUGGAGGUAUGCAGGGGAGAACGGAAUUCCUGGUGUAGCGGUGAAAUGCGCAGAUAUCAGGAGGAACACCGGUGGCGAAGGCGGUUCUCUGGGCAUGUCCUGACGCUGAGGAGCGAAAGUGUGGGGAGCGAACAGG